GCCUCGCUGGAGGAGAGGGCCCGGGGCUAACGCCCAGCUAUCAGGUAAAAUCGGAGACCGAGAGAUCGGAGAUGCAGACGGAUUCAAGAAAAACUGUUGAAAACAGAUUGUUAGUCAGCCUUAUGGAUCUCAGCGAAGGACAUGUUUUUCCUACUGGAAGAGAGCCAUGAUGUAGAAAUAGACUGAAAUCAAGAAAGAGGGCUGCAGCCGUAGCUUAGGCUGUAUAUUUAAACAUUUUUGCUGUCAGACCAUCUGGGCCUGGAGCUAAAUUUACCUACAAAUUAUUUUCAAUGUUUCUACUUCUUGAGAGUUGAAAGGUGCACUUGACACUUUAUGCCAGGAGGAAAGAUAAAAUAAAUGUCCUGGGUCAGAUUUUCCCAGUGUCAGACCUGUGUGUGGUUUUGGAUGCCUAAUCUGUCUGCAACUCCUCACUUUAAGCCCAGGCCGGGUGCUCUGCGCACACAGAGCCCCUCCACAGCCAACACAAAAACUUGACUUGCAUUCUUGCUCCUCGUAACUCUGGGGUUUUUUCUGCAAUGCAAAUGCACUCACAUCUUUUGCACUCACAUCUUUUUCUGCCCUUUUUUUUUUUUUUUUUGUUACUGACUUUUUUUUUUUGAACCAUGGCUAAAGGAAGACUAUGGGGGAUCCAGGAAGUCUAGUUUCUGACUCAGCUCAGUCAAAUUUGCUCGGUGACUCUCGCGCACCUGGAUCCCAGGAGAAAGCCUCAAACUCAGAGCUCUGCAGAACCGCCUGACAGAGGAAGUGGAGAGGAGUCUGUUGAGUCAAACUGAUGCAGAAAAAGCGAGAAGAACUGGAGUGCUAACCUAAAUUGUGGAGUUCCUACAAAAACUACCACAAACAGCCGAACCCGUAAUUUUUGCAUGUUACCCAAAAUCAUUAAAUUGCAACAACAGCUCAUCUAGCUGGAGUCAAGUCAACAGUAAUAGCUGUUGGGACAAGAAAAAGAAACCCAGUGGAAAAUUCUCUGACAGCUGCUUCUGAAUAUUUGAGAUCUACUCAGCUGAAUGUGUGAGCUGAGCAAAGGCCUUUUGAAAAUUUGAACAUUCAAAAUGAAAUUGUUGAAUUAUUGGAGGCAUAGUCUUUGACUAGCUCUACUUCCAGGAGUAGACCAAUGUAACCUGUGAAAAGUGAAUAGUAACUCUUGAUUUUAUGUAAAAAUGACAAAAGGGGGAUUUUGUUGUUAUAAUAAUGAUUAUUUAGUUAAUGUGAUAAAUGCACCUAAAAAGAGUCUGAUUUGACCCAAUACUUAAAAUAAAUCAAGUUAUGAAAUUUCUACUUGCAAA